UGUUUUAUAGAUAUGCUAGAUAUUGUUGAUUUGCUAUGCUGACUUGUGAUAAUUUUGGUAGAUAAAGCCCUACAAACCAGCGGCCUCUACCUCAUCUCGCCGGUGAUAAUUUCAGUUGAUGUGUCCCUUCAAACAUGCGAAACCAAGUAGCUGGAUGUUUCCCUUCAAAGAUGAAUUGUGAAACUUGGUCAUAUGGUAGUCAUGGCUUCCAUUUUGUAAUCCUGUUUAGAUGCUAGUAGUCGGACUUUUAUUUUGUAAAACCUACUUAUGGGGUGACAAGGAAUCUAUUAUUUUGUGAACUUGACUAUGUUGUGAUCAGUGUUGAGAUAAUAUGAACAGUGUUGUAAGAUUUUUAUGCAUA